UGGUCCUACGGGGCGCAGCAGUGGGGAAUAUUGCACAAUGGGGGAAACCCUGAUGCAGCGACGCCGCGUGAGUGAAGAAGUAUUUCGGUACGUAAAGCUCUAUCAGCAGGGAAGAAAAUGACGGUACCUGACUAAGAAGCCCCGGCUAACUACGUGCCAGCAGCCGCGGUAAUACGUAGGGGGCAUGCGUUAUCCGGAUUUACUGGGUGUAAAGGGAGCGUAGACGGCAGCGCAAGUCUGGUGUGAAAUGCCG
rnacentral:rRNA from 1 species